CCCACCAAAUUGAUUCUUCAAAUGACAUCCAUCAAUCCCUAUGAAGGGUCUACAAAUUUGUCGGAAGGCUUUUUUGCACCCAUCAUAUCACACAUAAAAUCUACCAAACCCAGGCUCAACUGUAGGAUUUAGUAUGUCUGCCAUUAUCUCACACGUAUUAUUCUUGCAAGCCCUUAUCAACUCUUUAGAAUAAUCUCUCAACUUGAGGUACUGCUUCUUUGAACUAUUGUAAUGAACUAAACUCCAUCCCAAUAUUCCACUUGAAGCCUUUACUCAUAGUAGGCCUAUUGAACUUUUCGUACACAGGAACAUUACCAUCCCCAUCCUCUAAAUCAGUCCCACCAAGUAAUUCCUCUGAGAAAUAAUCCUCUUCUAAGUCAUCAGCAUUUGGUUGAUUAAACUGGAAUCCUCCAUGACACACGGUUGUUAUCUUCAGCCUCCUUUUCUACAUCACUGGCACAUAGUGAUUCUUCCUCACUAGCAUGUUCUGAAUUUGAAACAAAGUCUUCAUCACUGGUCCCAUCAUC
rnacentral:lncRNA from 1 species